GGAGAGUUGCCGGAGCGGUUGAACGGGACGGUCUCGAAAACCGUUGUAUCCUUGCGGGUACCCAGGGUUCGAAUCCCUGACUCUCCGCCA
rnacentral:tRNA from 1 species